rnacentral:rRNA from 1 species
CCCUGCGCAAGGGAUCUUUUGGCUCGCUGUGCGAUGAAGGGCGCGGCGGCAAGCGAUAUGUGGCGGAGCGGCAGCAACGAUGCCACGUGCCCGAAGCUGCGCAAGCAGGAUAACCCCUGGA